ensembl:lncRNA SNHG27 small nucleolar RNA host gene 27
GGAGGCCGGGAUUCGCGGAGGGUCAACCAGGAGGAAGAAACGCCAGAAGGAAGAAACCUGAGACAGAUCGCCGGGGACGCAGCACGGGAUCCCAGCCUGAGGCGUGCGGGGACGGUGUGCGGGAAGGGAGUGUAUCCUGGUGUAUGACAGCAUAUAGUAGAGACCAGUGUCAAUUAGGGCCUGUGAACUGAGACAGGGUGACUGGCUAAGUCCACAACCCAUUAGAAACCCAGAAAUAAUCAAAUCAUGGUGAGUAGUAAUAAUACUUAUUUAUAGUACUGUACGGUAUAAAGACAAGAACCAAUUAUGUUGAGUAGCUGUAACAAAUAGCUCUAUCGUUCUUAAUAACUUUUUCUGUAAUAAAACUGAAUUGUAACAUGACCAUACUGCAAUAUGACAUUACACUGGUAUUGUUGGUAAGAUUCAACUAUCUUAUGUAGAGAAGUUAUAUAAUGCUUAUAUUGAUAAUCAAAUGUAUUAAGAUAUUGAGUUAAAGCCUCUUCAGAAUGUAAUCUGGGUGAAUAAUAAAUGGCCUGAGAAAACAGAAUUUAGCUAACCAUUAUCUAAUUUCAAUGCUAAAUAGUUCUGCACAGAUUUAUCAAAAGGUAAAAAUAAAAGCAAAUUGAGAGGAGGAAUGAGUAAUUUGGUUUGUACAAAAUAUUAAAGUGUAUGUAAUGGCCUUGUAGGAUGCAUUAGUAAUUUUUAAAAAUCAAUCUUUACCCUACACUGUGUCCAUAAAAUGCUAGGCAUAUUCAUGUUAAUAUUACUGUUGUUACUGUCAUAUAAAUGCUGUACUCAAUGUAGAUGCUCAGAAAAAUAUGCUUGUUUUGCUACAGGAGAGAUUAGUCCAGGGACAAUAAAUAUGGAUUAGGGAAGAAUGUGUUAACUCAGCAGGCCAGGGUUUCUUCAACCCUGCACAUUCAAAGAGGGAUCAUGGAAAGGAAGCUGAAUUUGCUGAGUUUUGCCACGUGGGCAUUGCAUGCCUAUGUGAUUAACCACCAAUAAAAACCUGGGACAUCAAAAAAUAAAUAAGCUGCUUUAAUUGCCAAGAA